rnacentral:rRNA from 1 species
GUCGAGAAUCUUUCACAAUGGGGGCAACCCUGAUGGAGCGACGCCGCGUGGAGGAUAAGGUCUUCGGAUUGUAAACUCCUGUCAUGCGUGAACAAGGUUGCUUGGUUAAUACCUGGGCAAAUUGAUGGUAACGCAAGAGGAAGAGACGGCUAACUCUGUGCCAGCAGCCGCGGUAAUACAGAGGUCUCAAGCGUUGUUCGGAAUCACUGGGCGUAAAGGGUGCGUAGGUGGCGUGGUAAGUCAGAUGUGAAAGCCCGGGGCUCAACCUCGGAACUGCAUCCGAUACUGCCAUGCUAGAGUACUGGAGAGGUGACUAGAAUUCGCUGUGUAGCAGUGAAAUGCGUAGAUAUCGAGAGGAAUACCAAAGGCGUAGGCAGGUCACUGGACAGUUACUGACACUGAGGCACGAAGGCCAGGGGAGCGAACGGGAUUAGAAACCCCAGUAGUCC